AACAGAAGAAGUAACCAAAACCUAGCAAACAAAAACAACCAAAGAAAUCCCACCAGAAACAAAAGAAGAAUUAAAUUCAGGAAAAACUGUCAACAGUAAGAUAAAGACCUGGGCCAAGUUUUGCUGGAUGUCCCUGAUUGCAGAGGAGUGGGAUAGUGGAAAAGAACUUACGGACAAGCACUGGGUUCCAGAGAAGAUGUGAAUCAUCACAGAGGCAUGCCAGAAGAAGAUACUCAUACCACCUACCUGGAUUUAUUCAAUCAAAAUGCCAACACAAACAACUAUACAUGCCUAUAGACAAAAUAGAGGACUAGAAACACUAGCUGCAGAUUCUAAACAAUUAUACCCUUCAAGCAACAUCCAUCCUGCUUGUCCUCCUGCAGUACCAAUGGAUGCUGCAUCCCUGGUUGCACGGUGGCACAUUUGCUCCAGUAGAAAGAGUUAGAUGUGUUCCACACAUUUCCUACUGUCGAACUGAGUUCUGCAUAAACUCUGAAGUCAUGCUGAAAAAGAGGCUAGCCUUUCCUACCAACUGAUGUGGAGAACAAUAGAUAAUUAUCCUCAUGUUCUGAACAUGAUGCAGCAUGCUCCUGGCUGUUUUUCCCAACCAGAAAGGCUACAUUCCCACUGGGUUUGCUCAGUCCUGGAAAAGAAAUUGUUACAUAGAAGAGCGAUUUCCUGUUGUAUGCUGACUGCUUUCCCAUUUGUACUCUCCUGCUCUCAAAGAGCUUCUUUAUGUCCAGCAGAAGUUCUGUUGUUUCAGAGACGAAUCUCUGUCAUUUUCAGUUUAGACCAGCUAAGGGAGUUCAAAGGCCAAGGCUGGGCUCCAGUGGCACUGAAAGGAAGAGACAGCACAAUCAGAAGAGAAAAGAAGGCCCGGUGAUUGCUGAUACUAAAAGAGAUUCUUCCACUAUGCUGCAGGUAUAAUAACAACCCAUUGUACACAGGAGGGUCUUCAGUCACUGCUAGAAAUGGAGGUUUGUUCAGAUUCAAUUUGAAGUACUUUUGGAAAUUCUUGCCUCGGAUAAGCUGAUUCUGCAACUAUGAGACUGGAGAUAAGUCAUCUGGAAAAAAAAAAAAGGAAAAAGAAAAAGAAAAGGUAUUGCUGUUGGAGGCUGAACUUCUUGUGUUGAAUGACAAAAAGAAAACAUAAAAAUAAAGUUACAGGUGAAAGGAAAAAUAAAAA